GGGGGCGACAUGGCUUCGACGUGGAUCGCGAAACCUGAGGUGCAUGCCGAGGACGUCACUCACCUCGUAAAUCAUGUGACAAACGAAAUAGUCGCCAACGACGAUACCUACGCUCUCGCGGCCUAAUCCCCGCGAGCCGCUGACAAGCAGUUGCUUGUGGCUCUUGCUCAGCGGUCGUAGCACACAAGCUCGCAGCGCGGAGUGCCCGACUCCAAGCUGUUAAAUCCUUCCAGGGCUUGCCGAUCGUGUUCCCUGCCCGUCGGGUAGCGGUCGGCUAAAUCUAAAGACUGGGCUAAGCAUGUAGAGCCGACGGCGGAGGAUCUACGGACGCGGGUUCGAUUCCCGCCGCCUCCACCA
rnacentral:tmRNA from 1 species